UACGUAGGGUGCGAGCGUUGUCCGGAAUUAUUGGGCGUAAAGGGCUCGUAGGCGGUCUGUUGCGUCGGUAGUGAAAACUCAGGGCUUAACCCUGAGCCUGCUUCCGAUACGGGCAGACUAGAGGUAUGCAGGGGAGAACGGAAUUCCUGGUGUAGCGGUGAAAUGCGCAGAUAUCAGGAGGAACACCGGUGGCGAAGGCGGUUCUCUGGUCCAUGUCUGACGCUGAGGUACGAAAGCCAGGGGAGCAAACGGG
rnacentral:rRNA from 1 species